GAUUUGUUCGGAGCAUAUAGCAUGUUUUCCGCUUAUUUUUUAGGUUUAGAUUUAAUUGUAUUAUUUUUAUUCAUUUUCGAUCACGCAGCGAAAAGUAGUACCAUUGAGAUAAAAAAAAUACAUCUUCGAUUCAAAAACCACGUGUACAUUGAAACAAAAUCCAUUUCCCUUGAUUCAAGUAAAUUUUAUAUUGAACCGAAAUUUUUUUCCAUUAAACCAAUGUUCCAAAUUUUUGGAUCAAAGUAUUUAAUUUGAGUUUAAAGAAUUUUUUUUUUGACUCAGAAUCAAUGUGAAAAUUCAUUGAUUUAGAUGAAUUUUCUUUUGAAUCAAAGUAUUUUUUCGUCAAACAGUCGACAUCUUCAGUAGCUUCUUUUUGGUGAACGGGACGGCAAGAAGGUUUGCCGCGCAACAGCCAGACAGCACCGGAAACACAAGAUCCGGCGUAGGAAAGUCUUGGCAGCUUUAAGAGGGCAGACGAUAGUGACUCCUAGGGCAACCAUUCAUCCAACUAAUUCCUUCCGAUCCGGUCCAAGGAGAAAUCUGGCGCCGAAACCCUUCAUGAGUUGUUCGAAAGGAACUGUCGCCAACAAACAUCGUUCAAUGUACCGGUUCAAAACUUAAAUCAUAGGGAAAAUCGAUAAUGUGAAUGUGAUAAUGUAAUCUAAAUAAAUAAAAUGUUGUAAACCAUAAUUGAUUUCUUUUUUUUCCAAUUGGAAGAAAAUAAAUAUGUAGUACUAGAAUUAUUAAAACAAAAAGUAGAAUUGAAGAACAAAUGCUUUUAAAUUGAAACCCAAAUACCGUUGGAACAAACGAAAAGUUCAUAAAAUUAAACGAAAAGACUUUUGAAUCAAAAGCAUUUUGUUUUUCGAAUCAAAGAAAAAGUUUUGAUUCAAAGGAAAGCAUUUCUUCGAAACAAAAGAAAAUGUUUUUGAAUCGAAGGAAUUUUUAU